GACCGCCACAUCUUGUGGUUAGUAGGCCAUACGGACAGCCGGGUCAAAUGCCGA
rnacentral:sRNA from 1 species